AGUGGCUGAAGAGAAUUCGGUGAGGGUACCAUACUGAAUGGGUUCUCCAUUCUUCAUCCCUCGGGAAAGUCCCCAGACAGUUAGCAUAAAGUGCAGGCCGUGAUGGUGACCAAUGACUUCGCUGGGUUUAAAGACCUUGUCGUUGUGCAUGUCUGCUCGUAGAGUUAUCGAAUUGGGUUCUUCGGAAUCUACCACAAUGGGGCUCACUCCUUCAGCCAU
rfam:Trichomonas vaginalis G3, whole genome shotgun sequence.